ACCGUAGCUACUCCAUUUAUUUUAGGUUAUUAGUUUGUUAUUAUAUACAAGUAUCCCUUUUUUUUUUUUUGCUAAAAUUAAAUUCUUUUACAUUGCCAAGCCCAUUUCUUCCCCCGACCUGGCCCUUUUCCUUCUCAAAAGAAACCUAGAAGCAUCCAUUUAUUUCCAACAUUAACAUUACAACUUAGCAGCAACAUCAAGUAGAGAACGACGUCAAUUCCCAAACGGUAAUAUUCCAAUAGCAACGGAUACAACGCCAAAACAAAACUGACAGCGUCUUAGGACACGUCGAGUUCACAACGUUCGCGGGUAACAGUUUUAUCCACAUUGUAUCCCUCGCCAACUUUAUUUGCACGGUGAUUUUGGCUACAACAAUCAUAGGAUUCGUCCUUGCAGCCUCGAGAUCGUGCCACGAAGCGCGUCAAAAACAUGAGAUUCAUCUGCAACGUCAACAUUGCCAUCCUAUCAUUCGAAUUUGAUAUAGCUGAACGGGACAUGCUCAAAUUACUCAAAGAGGAAGUUCUUAAAGUUGAGAAAAGGAACACGGUAGAAGAGUAAGCCACUGUAAGACAAGUUUCCGAGGGCAUGAGAUCGUACGGAUUGGUAUCUCAAAGGCUAUACAAAAUCUGUUAAAGAAUGAAAGAGUCAGUAGAAGGAAAAAGAGAAGAAAUUUAAAGAGUUUGAAUCUUUGAAAAUAUACUCUAAUACUCCUUCACGUGAUUUAAUUCAUUUUUAAAAAAUGAAAUGGGUUGAACUGGAUGAUCAUAAGGAACUUUUCGAUUGGAGAGCCUUAGCUUAAGACGCUGACCAUGAACCUUGGGAUAGUAGAUUUAGUAAUGCUUAUCGUGAUAUUUGGCCCUGUCAGCCUAAGGAUAGAUAUUUGUUGCCUUGAAGACUUUUGAGAGGAUUUUAGUCUAUUCAAAAAAUUAGUGGUUUGUUAUUACUUAUUAACUUUUCCUUAUAUGAACAUGUAGUUUUUUUUUUUAAAUAUAAGUUAUUAGACUUAAAAAUCCUUGUUAAUUAAAGUCUUCAAUAUAUUAGUAUACACAUUAGAAAGUUAGUCUCAAAUUUUGGUUAAAGAUUUAGAUUGUAGAUGAUGAUAGGAAACUUAGUAACCUUUUGGAUUUUACACAAACUGUGAAGUCAUUAUGAAAAUUGAUUUUUUUGAAUGAAGUAUAUGCAAUCAUCUCAUGCUUAAAUGAUUAAAUUAAUAUUGAUGAGUGAAACUUGCUAAAAUUUCUCUUGAUUACAGAAAUGGCAUGAAAAAGUAUAAUGCUAACUUAAAUAAAGGUGAAAAACAAACAGUAAUAAUUACGAUAUCUAGAGUCGUAAAAUAUGGUAUGUACUGAAAGAGAAAAAUAUUCUCAGAGGUAUAAACCAUGUUUUGCAUCAACUAGAAGCGGGUAACACUGCACAACAAAGAAGAGACCUUGAAGCUUAUAGAGCUUGGAAAAAAGGUUAAUUCCACUACAUGUGGAAUAAUAGUUUAUUCUGUAGUUGAUGACCUCAUACAUGAAUUUGAGGAAUUUCUAACUUCUCAUGCUUUGUGGGUAUAUCUGCGAGGAACAUAAGGGGUACGUCUGUUCUCACCUCCGACAGUUGACUGUCAAAUUUGACACUAACAAGAAGUGUCAUGAUAAAAAUGUCAAACAUGCUAGUCCAAGUCAAAAGUGCUUGUCAAGUUGUCUCAUAUGAGCAACAAGUUCAAGAAGCAAUCCGGUCUCUUCCCAAUAAUUGGUAACAUUUGAAGAUUAACUUGAUCCAUAAUCAUAGUAUCAAAACUUUCUAUGAUGUUUCCCCCAUGUUGAACUUGAGGAUGAGCGGCUUACUGUUGCUAAAACUACUUAUGAUGCCUUUGUGGCAGAGUCAAGUUGUACAAAGUCUUCAAGCUUCAAGCGCAAGAAGAACCGGAAGAAAAAUGAGGAAGAACGAAAGAGAUUGGAGAGGGACCCUCUAAGAAAAGGAAGAAGCCAAAUUCAAAAAAGGAAAAAACAGUAUUUUCAAGACAAAAGACAAGAACAAAAUGAAGUGCUACAAUUGCCAAGUUCCAGGGCGUUUUACUCGUGAAUGUAGCAAGCCAAAAAAGACUCGGGAUCCACCGGCCACUUGAGUUGAGAUCGAGAAGCAUUUGUGGAGGUUUGCCGAGUUUCACAUGUGGAUCUGUGUAGAAAAUAAGGUUAGACUUGAAGUCAAAGGGAUAGACCCUUGGAAAGUGGACUUGCAUGG